UUUUACAAUGAAGAGUUUGAUCCUGGCUCAGGAUGAACGCUAGCUACAGGCUUAACACAUGCAAGUCGAGGGGCAGCAUGGACUUAGCUUGCUAAGUUCGAUGGCGACCGGCGCACGGGUGAGUAACGCGUAUCCAACCUCCCGCUUACUCGGGAAUAGCCUUUCGAAAGAAAGAUUAAUACCCGAUGGUAUCUUAAGCGCACAUGCAAAUAAGAUUAAAGAUUUAUCGGUAAGCGAUGGGGAUGCGUUCCAUUAGAUAGUAGGCGGGGUAACGGCCCACCUAGUCGACGAUGGAUAGGGGUUCUGAGAGGAAGGUCCCCCACAUUGGAACUGAGACACGGUCCAAACUCCUACGGGAGGC
rnacentral:rRNA from 1 species